CACUAAGCGGGAGGUAAACUCCUUCUAAGACUAAAUAUUGCCAUGAGACCGAUAGCGAACAAGUACCGUGAGGGAAAGUUGAAAAGCACUCUGAAUAGAGAGUCAAAAAGUACGUGAAACUGUCUAGGGUUAAGAAAGCAUGAAGUGUCUAAAUAUCUGAAUGGAGAAAUUCAGUAUCAUAUUGUUGUAAUUAGAUUGUUAAUGAAGCAUAUGGUGUGCACUUUUCUCCUUGUAAGACACUGCGAUCCAUUAGAACCUUGUGUUAAUAAUUACCAUGUUGUGAAUUAUUAUAUCUAUCAAUGGGCCUGGCAUGGAGCUUACAUAUUUAAUGUUAGUACUAUAUAUUGUUAAGGUGAUAUACAGGAAAGCAAUGUAAACUGCUGGUGUCUCGUAUAGAUGUCUGAUGGAUUUUAAGCGAUCACAAUAUGACAUCUUUGUGGUGUAACCAGUAAUGGUUUAUUGUAUUGUGUCGGAUCAGCAGUGUAUUUGUUUAGUAAUCUUCAUGA
rnacentral:rRNA from 1 species